rnacentral:lncRNA from 1 species
CAAGGUCAUGCAUUGGUCACUCCAAGGAAGCCAUUAUCAGUCACAUAUACAGAUUUUGCUGGUAUCCUUAGAUAUGCUGGGGAUGAUCUUCAUAGGCAUAAGAUUCAUGAUGAGAAUGUUAUUGAGGAUGGGGAGAUGGCCUUCUUGUAUGAUGCAGCUUAUGGACCAAUUAAGCAUGGCACCACCAAGGGCAUGAUUCCGUACUAUAGAUUGAUUAAUCAAUUAUUUCGUUAUACUCUUUACCCUAAAGGUGAAGAUUCCGCCAGAGUGCUCUAUCCUGGCCGCCUUCUCUUUAUUCUUUUUUCCCAAUCGCGGGAGCGAGGCAGCAGGUAAACUAUUUUUUAGCUGUAGCGCGGGCUUUUCUACCGCCAAAUACCACACUCACCUGAAACUUACCUUACAUGUGGGACCCUGUCGCGGUAAAAACUUCCCAUUUGAUCGGUAACAGGUUCGACCCACGGGAGGAGUACGUUUUCUAUUUUAUUUUCCUACCCUAUUUAUCAGCUUAAAGUUACAUGUGGGACCCUCGUUGGUUUAUGAUAUUUUUGCGGAGCUUAUAUCAUCACAAAACCACCAUGUAACAGCGAGUGAUGAUUUUUUUUUACUACAGUGGCAACUUUUAUGACGUUAUGUAGCUUUGUCACUAAAUUUGCUCGGAUGUCAAACUUUAUGAUGUUUUCAGCUAGAAACAUUAUAGAUCUAUAACAAGAACAAAUGUGUCAUAAAAUUUUUAUCAUAGAUCAACAUAUUUCUUGUAGUGUAGUGUCAAAUUCUCGGAGAAGUUUGCAAUAAUGUAAAAGCUUGGUGCUUUACUAAUCACCCGUAGAUGAUGUGUGUCGUUACAAUUUGUGUAACGCUUAAAAGCCCUAGUUACUUGCAUUGCACAAAUCAUCUAUAAAUUAUAGGUAUGCAUGAUACAAUAAACCAAAUUAC